rnacentral:rRNA from 1 species
AACGAACGCUGGCGGCAGGCUUAACACAUGCAAGUCGAACGCACCUUUCGGGGUGAGUGGCAGACGGGUGAGUAACGCGUGGGAAUCUACCCUUCUCUACGGGAUAGCUCCGGGAAACUGGAAUUAAUACCGUAUACGUCCUGAGGGAGAAAGAUUUAUCGGGGAAGGAUGAGCCCGCGUUGGAUUAGCUAGUUGGUGGGGUAAAGGCCUACCAAGGCGACGAUCCAUAGCUGGUCUAAGAGGAUGAUCAGCCACAUUGGGACUGAGACACGGCCCAAACUCCUACGGGAGGCAGCAGUGGGGAAUAUUGGACAAUGGGCGCAAGCCUGAUCCAGCCAUGCCGCGUGAGUGAUGAAGGCCCUAGGGUUGUAAAGCUCUUUCAGUGGGGACGAUAAUGACGGUACCCACAGAAGAAGCCCCGGCUAACUUCGUGCCAGCAGCCGCAGUAACAC